GACGAACGCUGGCGGCGUGCUUAACACAUGCAAGUCGAGCGAUGAAGCUCCUUCGGGAGUGGAUUAGCGGCGGACGGGUGAGUAACACGUGGGUAACCUGCCUCAUAGAGGGGAAUAGCCUUUCGAAAGGAAGAUUAAUACCGCAUAAGAUUGUAGCUUCGCAUGAAGCAGCAAUUAAAUGAGUAAUCGGCUAUGAGAUGGACCCGCGUCGCAUGAGCUAGUUGGUGAGGUAACGGCUCACCAAGGCGACGAUGCGUAGCCGACCUGAGAGGGUGAUCGGCCACAUUGGGACUGAGACACGGCCCAGACUCCUACGGGAGGCAGCAGUGGGGAAUAUUGCACAAUGGGGGAAACCCUGAUGCAGCAACGCCGCGUGAGUGAUGACGGUCUUCGGAUUGUAAAGCUCUGUCUUCAGGGACGAUAAUGACGGUACCUGAGGAGGAAGCCACGGCUAACUACGUGCCAGCCGCCGCAGUAACAC
rnacentral:rRNA from 1 species